CUUCCUCUGAUUGUGGGUGAUGGAGGUCCUUUCUGUUUCUUCACAGUUUAAACCAGCGCAGUGACCCUCUGCUCAUCCCUGAUGUCUCAUAAGAAGAUGACUUUAAGCCGACCACGUCGACUGUUCUUUAGAGUCAUGGUUGACUUUCAGCUCCUCUCCCAGGGUGCUGCAGGGAGAGGCAGAGGGCCAGGCCAGAGCUCCCGGACCGCCUGCUCAGUUACCAACAAACUGUGGUGAAAAGGCCUGUCUGGGGCUGAUUUUGUAGCUGGGCAACUGCUUCUGCACAACAGAUUGCUCCAAGCUGGAUCCCCCCUCAGUGGGCCUCUCAGUUGGUUCCUGGUAUGUAACCCGCCAUCUCAAAACGUGAUGGCUUGAA
rnacentral:lncRNA from 1 species